ensembl:lncRNA
UGAUGGUUUCCUCCCAUUUUUCCUGGUUUCCUCCUCUUCUUGAAGGUUUCUUCCCAUUUUUGAUGGUUCCUUCUCGUUUCCGAUGGUUUCCUCCUGUCUUCGAUGGUUUCUCCCCAUCUUUCAUGGUUUCCUCCUGUCUUUGAUGGCUCCUUCCCAUUUCUGAUGGUUCCUUCCCAUUUUUGGUGGUUCCUUCUCAUUUUUCCUGGUUUCAUCCCAUUUUGGAUGGUUCCUGCCCAUUUUUGAUGUUUCCCUCCAUGUUUUCAUGUUUCCAUGAUUCCAACAUUGGAUUCCACAGCUCCAUGUUCCCAUCAUUCCAUGACUUUCCAACCUUGACCUUGAUGUUCUUGGAGAUCUUUCCAACCUCAGCCAUUCCAGAACUCCCCGGUCCCACCAUUCCACGUCUCUCCACCCCCCACCCGCGGCUGUUUCCGGGAAGCCGGACCUCGGCAAGGAGCUGCGGAUCCAUGGAAAAAGGAGCAGAUUCCCGGGAGGAAUCCCAGGGAGCAGGAUAUUCCCAAAGGUUUGACCCUUUGGAAAAAUCCACGGGAAACUCCUGCCGGGGGAUGGAUUCACCCCGGAGAAAUCCAUGGAAAACUUUCCCAUCGCCGAGAAAUCCAUGGAAAACUCGCGGUGGGAUGGAUUCAUGGAGAAAUCCAUGGAAAACUCGGGGUGGGACGGAUUCACCCGGAGAAAUCCAUGGAAAACUUUCCCAUCACCAAGAAAUCCAUGGAAAACUCGUGGCAGGAUGGAUUCACCCCAGAGAAAUCCAUGGAAAACUCUUUCCCAUUGCUGAGAAAUCCAUGGAAAAUUCGCGGUGGGACGGAUUCACUCCGGAAAAAUCCAUGGAAAAUUCCUUCCCAUCACCGAAAAAUCCAUGGAGAACUCCCCUGGGAAAAGCAGGAACGAGGGAAUCGGGGGAGGGAAAAGUUGGAUUUGGGCUCUUUUUCUGCUGCUCUGCUUCCGUUGGGAAUAAACGGAUCCCAUCCCAAAUCCCGAGUUGGUCGUGCCCGGUCGGGAUUUCCCUCGGGAUCGCUCCGGAUCCUCACCCCAUGCACGGAUCCUCCACCAUUUCCUCCAUUCCCACCUCCUCUCCGUGAUUUCCCACCUCAUUCCAGGUUUUUUUCCACUUUUUCCCACCUUUUCCCAGAAUUUUCCCCCUCACCCUGCUGAUUUCCAGCCUCAAUUUUUUAUUUUCCCCCUUUAUCCCACUGAUUUUCCAAUUAAUUUUGAUAUUUUUCCCCUCAUCCCAUUAUUUUUCCCUCUCAUUCCGAUUUUUCCAACUAAAUUCCGGAGCUUUUUCCCUUAUCCAAGUAUUUUCCCCUCAUUCUGGCAGGUUUUCAACUUCAUUUUACUAUUUUGGGCUUUAUUCCAUUGCUUUUCCACCUAAUCUUUGUAUUUUUCCACCUCAUUUUGGUAUUUUCCCACCAAAUUUUGGUAUUUUGGCCCUUACCCCCUCAGAUUUUUACACAAUUUUGGAAUUUUCCCCCUCAUCCCGUUGCUUUUCCAUCUCAUUUUCAUUUUUUUUUCCCCAUCCCAACAUUUUCCCACCAAUUCCUGCUGCUUUUCCACCUCAUUUUCGUGGGUUUUUACCUCAUUU